UUUUGGUUCUGACCCACUGAGGGAAGCUUAAGGUAACACCUGAAAAGCCCUUACGGGGAAAGAUUUCUGGCCGAAAGAUCGGCCCGCGUCUGAUUAGCUAGUUGGUGAGGUAAUGGCUCAUGAUGUCGAGGAUCGACACCUGGUGUGACAAAAAGACCCGCCACCUUUCUACAGAAACAAGGCCCCGGGUUCUGCUUCAAGCAGGAAUGCUUCUUAUUGGACGAUGGGGUCACGCUUGAUUUUCCCAUGCCACGUAUCUGAUGAAGGCCCUCCGGUUGUAAAGCUCUUUUGUGCGUGAAAAUAAUGACGGUAUCGCCCGAAAAAUCCCCGGAUAACUUCUCGCCCUCUGCCUCGGUCCCACGAUGGGGGCUAAAGGUGCUCCGAAUCACUGGGCAAAGACGGUGCGAAUCCAUAUCUUUAAGUCAAGGGCGACAACCUGGACCUCGACUCCAUAAGUGCCUUCCAUUCUGAAGAUCUUGACUUCACGAGAGAUGACUGGAUCAGCGAGUGUACAGGUGAAAUUCGUUGAUAUCCUGGAGAGCACCUCUGGAGAAGGCGGCUCACUGGGCCUAUACUGACGCUGAGGCACGAAAGCGUGUGGAGCAAACACGAUUAUAUACCCUGGUAGUCCACACCGUAAACGAUGAAUGUGAUCCGUUCGUGGGUUUACUCGCUACUGGCGCAGCUAACGCUUUAUGCAUUCCGCCUGGCGAGUACUGUCGUAGCAUUAAUACUCAAA
rnacentral:rRNA from 1 species